rnacentral:lncRNA from 1 species
GCUUUUUAAAACAGUUUGCAUAUUUGUGUGUAUUUUGUUAAUACAUUUGAUUCGUUUUGAAAACUCGAUUAUCCCUACUACUAGCAUUUGUAAAUCAAAACAAUAGAAACCCCAAAUUAAAAAUAAAAAUCCAAAGAGGCCAUUAUUAUAGAAAAAUACCCCCAAAAUAAAAUAAAAAUUAUAAUUAAGUACUAAGUCGAAUUAAAUAGGUCGUGUGCCCACCGUUGAGUCCUCCGUCGCACCGAUCCGCCUAUGUCUGGGGAUUCCCUGUACAGUCAAAUUAGAAGGGUAAGUUUAAAAAAACACAGUGUGUAAUCCCAUAAUAAGCAAACAGACAGAAAGUAAUCACAGUCUGGGCCUAAGCCUAUUUCAGUAAUAGUUUUAGUUUCAAUUAGGCCUUAGCCCAUUACAAUACAGAAGCAGUCAUGUAUUUGGGCCUUUGCCCAUUACAGUAACAGUAUUCAAUAAAGAAACAAAUAUACAGUAUCAAAUUCUACCCUGCCAGCCUCUACACUCCAACUCCGUCUAACCCUACACUCCAUGUGGGGAUAUAAUCAACCCACCCAUCCCUACACUCCAAAAAGUAUCGAAUGCGGCACUAGACAGUAGUUUGCAGCUGAGCUGCCAAUAAUCUAGGCUCGAGGCCUUUCAGUGCACUUAUUCCGAACAAUAUAAACCCCCAACCCAAUGCAAUGCAAUAUCCAGUAAUGACAUGUUAUAUCAUGGCAAUAACGCAUACAAUUUCAAUAUAGUAAAUAUCGUCAUGCUCGAUAACAUGUAUAUAUAUCAGUCAUACAGUCAUUAUUAGUCAAUUAGGGGUCUAGGUAAGCUUAUUGACCCUACAGUAGGUCCACAGUCGUCUCGGGCAACCCGUGCAACCUUAGUAGUCAAACAGUGAGAUUGGGCCCACGGCCCACAUUGCAUGCCCUUGUGCGCCUACACGCCCGUGUGGCCCACACAACCCAAAAUGGCCUUAGCCUCAUGAUCCAUUUUAGUGUAACCCAUGCUAGAUAAUUAUUCAUAUGUGUUUCCACUAUUUACUUGUAUAAUCCUUCAAAGUUGUCUAAUUAAGUCACUUUUACUAAAUUAUUUGUAUCUUAAGCUACAGAAUUUAGAACUAAAGUUUGAAAUUUUCCCUAAAACUAGACUCACAUAUCUUCUUAAGAUAAAAUUUUUAGUAUUUUUGGUUUAGUCAGUAAGUACAGUUUAUUCUUUAAAGUUUCCCCUACUCUGCUGUCUGGCAGUUUUGACCUUUCUGUACUAAAAAUUAAUUAUCUUCUCGUACAAAUUUUGGAUGAUGUUCUUGUUUGUAUAUCUUAAAAGUAUACUCAUUCAGGAUUUUAAAAAUAUAAAAUAUAGUCCAUACUUAUUUUUAUACAAUUUUUAAUAAUUUUUGGAAGUCAGGACAGGGGAUUCCGAAAUCAUUCUGACCCUGUCUCACUAAAAUUCCAUUAUCUCAUAAUAUGAAAUUAUGUUGCUUACUUCGUUUCUUCUAUGAGAAACUAGACUAAAAUAUAUUUAAUCCCAUAUUUUUUCACCCUCUAACUCGAUUCCCACAAUUUAUGGUGUUUUUUUAGAUUUAGCCUACUGCUACUGUCCAAACAGCAAGUAAUAUUAGCUUUUCGCCAAAUCCAUUAUUUUGUGUUUCGGGUAUACACCUGGUAUGGAUUGAUGCUACAACGAUCCUCGAGCACUGCAGAACCUAUAAUUGACCAAUUUCACUCAAUUUAUCAAUUAAUUGAUCGAACUAAAACUAAAUCCGAAACGAGAAACGCAUCCCUUAAGCAAUGAAAUGCUUACCCCAGCACCUCGAAACAGUUGGUUACGCAAUAGCACGAUGAGACCCUUAAUCCACGUGAGAUGCUACUGCCAAAUGCCACAAACCUUCAAAUCAAAGUUGAAUAAAUAAAAUUGUAAGUUAAAGAGAGCAAAAACUCUACUUACCAGAACGUGCGACGAAAAUUGACCCAACCGAACGAAGGUGUGGUAGCCAACAAAAGAGACGGAAACAGAAAGAAUAAUAGAAAGAAAAAAAGUUCGGGUUUGACAACAGAAAGACAAAAGGUGAAGAAGAAAGGAAGAAGAGAUGGCGUCAAAAAAGUGGGGAGUUUUGGGAAAAUCAAAAUUUUACAAAAAGGAAAUGAUAAUGCUCAGAAAAUCUGAUAAUCCCAAAAUCCACUCCCCUAAAUUCUCUCUACCAAACUCCCACUACUCAGAUUUUCAAUACAACUCAAACUCUCUAACUGACGAGCAAAUAAAAAUGUAUUUGUCCUUACAUGCGCGCUGGGAUUCGAAUUCCUAACCCUCUCCCAAAUAACAUUCCCCUUAGCCACCAGACCAGCAAGCCCAUUCUAGCAAUUACUUACAAACUUUUAAUUAAAAGCCUACUAGAGAGAAAUAGGGGUUAAGUAAAAACAAUACUAGAAUUUGCCAAAGUCAAGGCUUGAACUCAAGACCUCCCAAACUCACCAGAGCACUUAACCACAAAUGCCAAUACAUAAUUAUGUCACAUUUUCAAAAUAACAAAAAUAAGAAUUUUGGGGCGUUACAUGUUGCUUCUAAACUCAUAUUCAAAUUUAAUUACUCACAAUAUUAAAAUUAUUAUUUACAAUUGUGAACCAUUUUUUUUGAACCAGGCUGUCUGCUGCUAAUAAUAAGGAAUAUGAUAUGACCUCCAACUUGGGAAAAUGUAGAAGGAAAUAUGAAUGGGUCCCCUACUCCUAAUGGACAAACAUAAAAGCAAAUAUGAAAGGGUCCCCACUCCCAAUGCUGCCUAUUGUAUUCAAAUUUGAUUACUUACAAUAUUAUUGUUAUUUACAAUUAUCAAUAUUUUAUUGACAAAAUCACGGUGUUCAUUAUCGGUAGCAAUGACUAAUCCCUUCGUCGUAGAUGUUAUUCCAAAAAGGAAACGAUGGCCAUUAAAUGUGUUUCAUUCCCAUGGGGUGGGGAUCCAACUCCCAACCUCAUUAUUAAGGGAUUAGUUGAGCAAGGGCCACAUCAUUAUUAAUAACAAAGUUAAAAUGCCAUUAUUAUUGUUUUUAGAAACAAAGAAAAGAACACGAAAGUUGUUUUGUUUUAUAAUAUAAAUGGGAAAUUUGGUAUUUAAGAAGUAGUUAGAUCAAACUGGCUAAACAAUAUUGAAAUUACCAUAAUAGAAGGUUGUAAAAGAAAAUAUGAAAGGUCCCUUCACUCUCGUCACUUCUAAACUUGCAUUUAAGUUUGAUUACUCAUAGUAUUAAAAAUAUUAUUUACAAUUAUGAACCAUUUUUUUUAAAUCAGGCUGUCCGCUACUGAUAACAAUCACUCUGAUUUGACAUCCAACUUAGACAAAUGUAGAAGCAAAUAUCAAUGGAUCCCCUACUCCUACUGGAUAAAUGUAAAAGAAAAUAUGAAAGAGUCUCCACUCCCAACGCCGCCUAAUAAAUUUUACUUUGACUACUCACAAUAUAAUUAUUAUUCACAAUUAUCAAUAUUUUAUUGACAAAAUCACGGUGUUCAUUGUCAGUAGCAAUGACUAAUCCUUUCGUUGUAAGUGCUCUUCAAAGAAGUAAACGGUGGCCAUGGAAUGUGCUCCUGUAACAACCCCUAACCCCAAAUCGUCACCGAAACAGGGUUACGAGGCAUUACCGGACAUAUCAAACAAUUUACAAAUAAUUCUUAAAUAAAUAACCAACAUAUUAAAAUAAUUCGUAAAUUCAUAUAAAUUUUACUAAUUGAUUUCAUUUUUUUUAUAAAAAUUUCGGCAGCAUUUCUGCUUAUUUUUACAUAAAACCCCUGCAAAAUUUCAAAACAUAACCAGCCCAAUUCCAGUAUUUCAAUCAAGGAAUUUAUAUACUUAAAUCUUACUUGACAUAUUGACAUAACAACUUAAUUAAUAAAAAUCCUAUUAUCAUUUCUAAUUAACUCAUAAAACUAAUCAAGUCAUUUCAAUUUGAUACCAAUGCCAUAAAGGACUUUUACCAUUUUACUAAUAUAAUCAUCAAAACACAUAAUAUCUUACUUUACAACAAAACUAUAUAACAUACCAAAAUAACUAUUAUAAUUCUUAUGUACAUGCCACUUUCAUUUAAGGAAGAAAACAUCACCGAAAUCUCUAUGCAAGAGUCGGGAUUGACCUGGAUGCUGAACCGAGACUCAGACCCCUUUUUCAACCUGCGCACGGAAAGAACCGUACGCUGAGUAUUUUAUACUCAGUGGUAUUACCAAAAUUCAAAUUAUAAUAUCAAUAAAGAAUUAUAAUUACGAAGCAUGUAACUAUCCGAUUUCUUAAAUAUCAAUUAAUUCAUAAAUUUUCAUUAUUUAACAAUAACAAUACAAUUUUUAGCUAUUCUUCAAUCUCAAUCACAUAUCACAUGUAGCAAUUUCAAUCACUACAUAAACAUUAAAUUCAUGCCUUUUAUUUUCAAUAUCAAUUUCAAUAUGAAAAAUUUAAAUUUUCUCAUAUUCAAUACCACAAUCGAUCAAAUUCAUUGAUUUUCUCAUUUGAAUUAUUCACCCUAUUAACAAUCUGGACUAUGACAGAUACACGGAUUCCAACCCAAACACACCAAUACGGCAAAUUGUGCCUAAAACGGUCAUAGUACCUGAUCAGUAUACGAAACAUAAGUGCCUAAAAUGACACACGAGGUGCCUGAUACGACACAUAAAGUGCCUGAGAUACGACACAUAAAGUGCCUAAUCGGCAAAGCCGAUAAAUCUCGUACUCUUCCAAAUCCUAUGGCAUGCCAAUUAUAUCCGACUCAGUCCGACUAGUUAAUAGGGUAUUUCUAUUUCACAAUCCAAUUUUCAAGAAUUCAUUUUCAAUAUCAAUUAUACUUUUUCAUUCACUAAUCAAAACACAAUUCGAUAGCAACACAUACUUUACUCAUUCAAUUCAAUUUUCCAAAUUCAAUUCCCAAUCAUAAUUCAUUUCAAAAUUUAUUUUUCCAUUUUCAAUUCAAUAUUCAUUUCAGUUCUAUUCAUAUAUCCAUUAUUCAAUUGAAUUUCUUCCCUCUUAAUAAUAAUACUUAUCUUAUAUUUCACUUACCUUAUUAUUUACUUACCAUACACAUAAUUUAAAUUUAACUUUCAAACAAUUAAAUAAUUUGAAUUAUAGUAAUACAAACCCGGAUUUGCUCGAUUAUUCCUCAACGACCUUCUCCUUCCCUUUUUGUGCCAAUACCUCGAAUUCUUUAUUAGCUACGAAAAUUAAAUAAUUAAAUAAUUAAUUACAGCACAAAUUUUACAAUAAAAAUAAAAUUUCUAUCAAAUUUUAUACUUUAAUUCCAAUUUAAUCCUAACUAGAUUUAUCUACUUUUCUAAUUUAAUUCACACUCUAUUUCUAUUCAAAGUUCUUGUAAACUCAAAUUUAUCUACUAAUUUUUCAGCAUUUUUCACUAAUUUUGAAUUUUCCUCAAUUUAAUCCCUAAAACUCAAAACUUAUAGUUUAGUUUACAAUUCAAUCCUUUAUUCAAUUCCAAAUAAAAUUUCUAUCAAAUAAAUGCUCAAUUCCAUCAUUUAUUCAACAUAAACCCUACUAAAAAAUCUAUUAACUUUCAAAUUUUCAACUUAAAUCCAAGAGUAUUUCAUUCUAGGAUUCCAAAAACAUCAAAUUUAUGAGAAAAUGACUUGAUUUAGCUUACCUAUUAAACUUUAAGCUUCAAAUUCUCAAUUUUCCCCCUUUCUUUUCUUUCCCUUUUUCUUCCUCUGUUUUCGUCUCUUUCUCUGUUUCUUUUCUAUUCUUCUUCUCUUUUUC